AUUCGUAAGGGUUCCUCGGAACCCAGUGUCUCGCCUACUUUUUCUGUUAAUCGCAGGAUCAACAAAAAUGAGGAAGUAAAUCAAUAAAAAUAUUCCUCUUGAUACUAUCUUUUGAUUGUAAGAAGCUUCUGUCGAAGUUUGGUAAAAAUCCAGGAUAAUUUAUGAUUCUAAUAAAUGUUUAAAAACUUACUGCAGACUGAAUGUAAUGUCAACUGGAAGAAAACAAAAUUUCCUUCUAGAUACUAGCAUUUGAUCAUAAACAAGCUUCUGUCCAAGUUUGGUACAAAUCCAAAAUAGUAUAAGAAAGUUAUUAAAAUUCUAAAAACUUUAACCACAGAGUGAAUGUGUUGUUUCCUGGCAGAAAAUCUAAGUCCAUUUAAAAGUAAAAUACGGAAAAAAUGGAUUUCUUUUUUUACAAAAUUUCAUUCUAGAUACUAGCUUUUGAUCAUAAACAAGCUUCUGUCCAAGUUUGAUACAAAUCCAAAAUAGUAUAAGAAAGUUAUUAAAAUUUUAAAAAACUUUAACCACAGAGUGAAUGUGUUGUUUCCUGGCAGAAAAACUAAGUCCAUUUAAAAGUAAAAUAAGGAAAAAAUGGAUUUAUUUUUUUACAAAAUUUACUUCUGGAUACUAUCUUAUGAUCAUAAACAAGCUUCUGUCCAAGUUUGGUAGAAAUCCAGGAUAGUUUAAGAAAGUUAUUAAAAUUUCAAAAACUUUAACCACAGAGUGAAUAUUUGUGGACGCCGCCGACGACGCCGACGGAAUGUAGGAUCG